UACGUACCGGACAAACGUUAUUCGGAAUCACUGGGCUUAAAGAGUACGUAGGCUGUCUUGUAGGUGAGGUGUGAAAUCCCACGGCUCAACCGUGGAACUGCGCUUCAAACCACAAGACUUGAGGGAGACAGGGGUGAGCGGAACUGAUGGUGGAGCGGUGAAAUGCGUUGAUAUCAUCAGGAACACCGGUGGCGAAGGCGGCUCACUGGGUCUCUUCUGACGCUGAGGUACGAAAGCUAGGGUAGCGAACGGG
rnacentral:misc_RNA from 1 species